rnacentral:rRNA from 1 species
UACGUAGGGGGCAAGCGUUGUCCGGAUUCAUUGGGCGUAAAGAGCGUGUAGGCGGCCAGGUAGGUCGGUUGUGAAAACUGGAGGCUCAACCUUCAGAGGUCGACCGAAACCAUCUGGCUAGAGUCCGGGAGAGGAGAGUGGAAUUCCUGGUGUAGCGGUGAAAUGCGCAGAUAUCAGGAAGAACACCCGUGGCGAAAGCGGCUCUCUGGAACGGUACUGACGCUGAGACGCAAAAGCGUGGGGAGCGAACAGG